CGUUGGUGUCCCAUGAGAUCAUUCACGUCCUGACACUGGUGUUCGGAGACGGUUUCUGUCCAGCAGGAGAACAACACGCCCUCGCUGUGAGCAUCAGAAGAGGUUCUGACGACACCGAGGCCAGCCUGGGUCCGACCAGAUCACGGAAGUUAGAGAUGGAGGCCUACAGGCUGGGAAGCACCUGGCCUGUUCCUCAACUGCGAAGAUGUUAGCAGGAGAGUAAGUCCCCAGAGCACCUUCCACACCAGCUGGAGCUGAAGACAGAGGCAGGGGUGAAAGCAUGUGUGAGCAUUCCUAACGCACAGGAAGUGUCCACUUCUCUCCACCUUCACGUGAGACACUGAGUCCUGUUCAUGGCGCUUCCUCU